rnacentral:rRNA from 1 species
GACGAACGCUGGCGGCGUGCCUAAUACAUGCAAGUCGAGCGCAGGAAGUCAUCCGAACCCUUCGGGGGGACGUUGACGGAAUGAGCGGCGGACGGGUGAGUAACACGUAAAGAACCUGCCCUCAGGUCUGGGAUAACCACGAGAAAUCGGGGCUAAUACCGGAUGGGUCAUCGGACCGCAUGGUCCGAGGAUGAAAGGCGCUUCGGCGUCGCCUGGGGAUGGCUUUGCGGUGCAUUAGCUAGUUGGUGGGGUAACGGCCCACCAAGGCGACGAUGCAUAGCCGACCUGAGAGGGUGAUCGGCCACACUGGGACUGAGACACGGCCCAGACUCCUACGGGAGGCAGCAGUAGGGAAUCUUCCACAAUGGACGAAAGUCUGAUGGAGCAACGCCGCGUGAACGAUGAAAGGCCUUCGGGUCGUAAAGUUUCUGUUGUAAAGGGAAAGAAACAAAGUGCCCGCAAG